rnacentral:rRNA from 1 species
ACCGAGGAUCCGCGUCCGAUACUGUCGAACUUGAGUGCAGGAGAGGAGAGCGGAAUUCCCAGUGUAGCGGUGAAAUGCGUAGAUAUUGGGAGGAACACCGGCGGCGAAGGCGGCUACCUGGACAGUGACUGACGCUGAUGCGCGAAAGCUAGGGGAGCGAACGGGAUUAGAUACCCCGGUAGUCCUAGCUGUAAACGAUGGGCACUUGGUGUUGGGGGUAUUGAGUCCCCCGGUGCCGGAGUUAACACGUUAAGUGCCCCGCCUGGGGAGUACGGUCGCAAGACUGAAACUCAAAGGAAUUGACGGGGGCCCGCACAAGCGGUGGAGCAUGUGGUUCAAUUCGACGCAACGCGAAGAACCUUACCGAGGCUCGAACGGUAACUGCAAUCCUUGGAAACAGGGAGUUCUCUU